CAGCCGCCGCGGUAAUACGGAGGAUGCAAGCGUUAUCCGGAUUCAUUGGGUUUAAAGGGUGCGUAGGCGGGCUAUUAAGUCAGUGGUGAAAUCCUGCAGCUUAACUGCAGAACUGCCGUUGAUACUGAUAGUCUUGAGUUUGGUUAAGGUAGGCGGAAUGUGUAAUGUAGCGGUGAAAUGCUUAGAUAUUACACAGAACACCAAUUGCGUAGGCAGCUUACUGAGCCGACACUGACGCUGAGGCACGAAAGCGUGGGGAUCAAACAGGAUUAGAUACCCUGGUAGUCCACGCCGUAAACGAUGAUUACUCGCUGUUGGCGAUACACUGUCAGCGGCUAAGCAAAAGCAAUAAGUAAUCCACCUGGGGAGUACGGCCGCAAGGUUGAAACUCAAAGGAAUUGACGGGGGCCCGCACAAGCGGAGGAACAUGUGGUUUAAUUCGAUGAUACGCGAGGAACCUUACCUGGGCUUAAAUGUAGAGUGCAUUUUCUAGAGAUAGAAAUUCCCUUCGGGGCUUUCUGCAAGGAGGUGCAUGGCC
rnacentral:rRNA from 1 species